rnacentral:rRNA from 1 species
UGGGGAAUAUUGCACAAUGGGCGAAAGCCUGAUGCAGCAACGCCGCGUGAGGGACGACGGCCUUCGGGUUGUAAACCUCUUUUAGCAAGGAAGAAGCGAAAGUACGGUACUUGCAGAAAAAGCGCCGGCUAACUACGUGCCAGCAGCCGCGGUAAUACGUAGGGCGCAAGCGUUAUCCGGAAUUAUUGGGCGUAAAGAGCUCGUAGGCGGUUUGUCGCGUCUGCUGUGAAAACCCGAGGCUCAACCUCGGGCCUGCAGUGGGUACGGGCAGACUAGAUGCGGUAGGGGAGAUUGGAACUCCUGGUGUAGCGGUGGAAUGCGCAGAUAUCAGGAAGAACACCGAUGGCGAAGGCAGAUCUCUGGGCCGUAACUGACGCUGAGGAGCGAAACGGGUGGGGAGCAAACAGGCUUAGAU